GUCCACGCCCUAACGAUGAUUACUCGAUGUGUGCAAUACACCGUACGCGUCUAAGCGAAAGCAUUAAGUAAUCCACCUGGGGAGUACGACCGCAAGGUUGAAACUCAAAGGAAUUGACGGGGCCCGCACAAGCGGAGGAGCAUGUGGUUUAAUUCGAUGAUACGCGAGGAACCUUACCAGGGCUUGAAAGUUAAGGAAUGAUGUAGAAUAUGUCAGUCAGCAAUGACCUAAAACUAGGUGCUGCAUGGCUGUCGU
rnacentral:rRNA from 1 species